UAAAGCUACAAAGAGCUAAUGGGGGAUGCCUUGGUACUGACAGCCGAAGAAGGACGUGUAAAGCUGCGAAAAGCCACGGGGAACUGCUAAAAGGUCUUGAUCCGUGGAAAUCCGAAUGGGGAAACCCUACGAAGUUAAAGCUUCGUAACCCGCAACUGAAUCAAUAGGUUGCGAGGAGGAAAGCCUGUGAACUGAAACAUCUUAGUAACAGGACGAAAAGAAAAUAACCAAAUGAUUCCGAAAGUAGCGGCGAGCGAAAUUGGAAGAGCCUAAACCUUUAAUACGUGAUAGCCUGUAAGCGUUGUAUUAAGGGUGUUGUGGGACUUACAGAGUAAGUUACAGCUUACUGAAUCAGUUACAAAGGUGUUUGUUAGUUGAAUACAACUGGGAAGUUGAGCCAUAGAGUGUGAUAGCCACUUAAACGAAAACAAAUACUCUGAUGUAAGAAUCCCGAGUAAGGCGGGGCACGUGAAACCCUGUCUGAAUCCACCGGGACCAUCCGGUAAGGCUAAAUACUAGUCAGUGACCGAUAGUGAACGAGUACAGUGAUGGAAAGGCGAAAAGAACAGUGAGAAGCUGAGUGAAAUAGACCCUAAAACCGUUAGCUUACAAUCAGUUAGAGCCCUAUUGAUAGGGUGAUAGCGUGCCUGUUGAAGAAUGAGCCGGCGAGUUAUUUUAUGUUGCAAGGUUAAGGAGUUAAUAUCCGGAGCCACAGCGAAAGCGAGUUUGAAUAGAGCGUUAAGUAACAUGAAAUAGACCCGAACCUUGGCGAUCUAACCAUGACCAGGAUGAAGCGUAGGUAACACUACGUGGAGGUCCGAACCAACCGAUGUUGAAAAAUCGGUGGAUGAGUUGUGGUUAGGGGUGAAAUGCCAAUCGAGCCAAGAGCUAGCUGGUUCUCCCCGAAAUGCGUUUAGGCACAGCGUUGGACUUAUCUUACCGGAGGUAGAGCACUAGUCUGGUGCGGGCGGCGAAAUGCCGUACCAAAUCAUGUUAAACUCCGAAUACCGGUAAAGUUACUAUCCAGCAGUGAGGCUGCGAGUGCUAAGAUCCGUGGCCAAGAGGGAAACAGCCCAGAACGCCAGUUAAGGUCCCAAAUAUAUGCUAAGUGGUUAAGGAGGUAGAGUUGCUCAGACAACUAGGAGGUUGGCUUAGAAGCAGCCAUCCCUUGAAAGAGUGCGUAAUAGCUCACUAGUCAAGCGACUCCGCGCCGAAAAUACACCGGGACUCAAGCAUAUAACCGAAACUGCGUCAUAUAACUUGUUAUAUGGGUAGGGGAGCGUUCUGUUGUAGGACGAAGUAAGAUCGAAAGGACUUAUGGACGAAGCAGAAGUGAGAAUGUCGGCAUAAGUAGCGAAAACAUUGGUGAGAAUCCAAUGCACCGUAAACCUAAGGUUUCCCACGGCAGGCUCGUCCGCGUGGGGUUAGUCGGACCCUAAGCUGAGGCCGAAAGGCGUAGGCGAUGGACAUCAGGUUGAUAUUCCUGAACUAUCGAUUAAUCGUUAUCAGAGGCGGAGGGACGCAGGAGGAUAGACAAGCAGCCGAAUGGAAGUGGCUGUAAAGACGUGUAGGUAGAGUUUGUAGGAAAAUCCGCAAAUUCGUUAUAAACUGAGGCGUCGAGUAGGACUCUCUACGGAGGGGAAGUUGUUGAAUCCACACUGCCAAGAAAAACUUCGCACUCGAGAUUAAUAGGUAUCCGUACCGGAAACCGCCACAGGUAGGUUGGUAGAGAAUACUAAGGUGCGCGAGACAACUCUCGCUAAGGAACUCGGCAAAAUCACCUCGUAACUUCGGGAGAAGAGGUACCCUGGUAGCGUGAAGCGAUUUACUCGUGAAGCGUGAUAGGGUCGCAGUGAAUAGGCCCAAGCGACUGUUUACCAAAAACACAGGUCUAUGCUAAAUCGAAAGAUGACGUAUAUGGGCUGACGCCUGCCCGGUGCCGGAAGGUUAAGAGGAGAUGUCAACCGCAAGGUGAAGCAUUGAAUUGAAGCCCCGGUAAACGGCGGCCGUAACUAUAACGGUCCUAAGGUAGCGAAAUUCCUUGUCGGGU
rnacentral:rRNA from 1 species